CUCUAUUUACUGUGAGAUCAUCCAGCAGGAAUACGAAGUGAUUUUGUCUCUCCUGUUUUAUGGGCCAGCUCAUCAUUAUUAUCUGCCACGGUUGAAGGCAGACACGCUUGAAUCUGAAGAGGAAGUAGCAGAAUGAGUGUUUAACAUCUCCGAGGUGAACAAUCAUCCCGAUGGGUGCUUUGGAUGUUUACAACCACUAUAAAUGUUACCAUUUUUUCUCUAUCUGCUUUGGCCUGGGCUGUGGACUGUUACUCUACAGGCCAUUUU